CACGAGUCCCUGGGUAAGGAGGAAAGCCCUCGGGCCGGCGCAGCAGCCGUGCAGGGAGCGGGUGAGUGCAGCAGGGCAGGGCCCCGGCAGCGAGCCCAGGAGCCGCCGCCCGUUCCCAGAGACACUGAGCGUGGCAGUAAUUAGUGUGAGAAGCUCGUUACCCAGCAGCGGGGAGAGCACUAAUUACUGAGACAAUUGGGCAACUUGUAGCUCGGCCCGUGCCCACCGGCAGGGAAAUGCCUCUGGCCGGGCGUUGCUGGCCUCCCCAGGCCCAGAGCGCUGAGGGCUGGCCGGCCCUGGCAGCUCCAGCCAGCGGGGAUUUGUCUUUCCGAGGCCUGGACACCACCGAGAGCUCGCUGGCCGCUCGCUUCCAGGGGUCCAGUCUCCUUUCUAAGGCUCCAAAGAGCCCAGAGCUCAAACACAAACACCUAGGGAAGGUGUGACACCCUCCAGCCGUGCAGUUCUGCAUGCUGGCAGCACUCCAAGCACAAGGAAUGCUGCCCGAGGUGGACACCAGCUCUAGGGAUGCCUGAGAGGGGCAGGGGAGCAGGCGGAGCCGUGUGGCACCAUCAGCAUCCCCACAAGAUGCCUGGGCUCUGCAGCCAGUCAGAUCGGUAGAGAGCGGGAUUUCUCUCAGUUAAACUGCCUGUGACCCGAGGCAAAGGCAAUUACAGAGCAGCUGCUCCCACUGUGCCAGUGAUUACAGGGCUAAUUGAGCUUCCCUGGCUGCAGGCCUGAGCCAGGUGGCCAAGGAGCAGCGUUCCCAAAGCACCCCGCAGUCACAGGACGUUCAAUCCCAGAGCCUGCUGCCACAGAGCGGGAGCCUGUCCCAGUCACACAAGAUGUAGCACUGCCCUCCCGAGAGCUUUCCAGCAGAGUCCCAAGGGAAAGCAAAACACAGCUGCCCAGAUCCCCUGCUGACACCAACUCAUGGCUUGCACCAGCUCCAGGAAACCUCAUGAUUUACUCUGACAGGUGGCUCUCUCCAGGCUUUGCUAGCAGGAACAGACUGGCAGGUUCCGAGCCCAUUCUGGCAGAGGACCAGCCAGUCUCAUCAUGUGUUUUGUGCUUGCUGUUCCUCCCAGCCUCGCUUCCUGCUGGAAAAGCAGGAGAGGGGCUGUUUUCCUGAGCAUUGCUCUGGAGGAGAUGAAGGAAUGUGAGCAGAUGUGGGCAAAACCGAGUGAAACACGGCACAUUAUUGAGCAGAGACUGCAGCAGGGAGGGAACAAAAGUGCUGCUAAGGAGCAGUGCAGGUGAGGCUCUGCCAGGACAGGGACUGGGGAGCUCAUGCCACAAGCUGUUCCACUGGAGCCACCCCAUUCUGCUUGUCUCGUAGUGAGAUGGAGGGAUGAGAAGCAUUUCUUGUGGGAGAUGUUCCCGCUGGAUAGGCCGGAGACUUCAGGUGUGAAGUGACUGGCAAGGGAGAGAAGGCCUCUGCUCUGGGCUUUGACACUGUCCUGAGCUGUCCUUGAGAUGUUUGCGGCAGCUUUCCAGAAUUCCCUCAAACCUCCAAACUCCAAAGCUUGGACAGUUCAUACCAUGUCUAUAGUUGCAGUCAGUCCCAUAAUUACAGGAGAAUAUUACCUUCCAUUCCCUGGAGCUACAGGAAGAUUACGACCCACUGACCGGGCGCUGCCUUGGGGUGUCUGAUCGGAGCACGGCACGACACGUGUGUGGCAGGUGACAGCGUGAGAAGCUGACAAAAGGUGCAGACAUUGCCACAGGGGCAGCUGGACCUCCCAAGUGGCUACAGAGCAGUGGUGUGGACAGAGCCCAGAUUGCACAGAGCAGCCUCGCAGGUUCACUCCACACACCAGCUGCUCAGAACCACGUGAGUCAAGGAGCAUUCCAGGUGGAAACAAGCUCCACUAGCCAAGGAAUGGAGCCUGCAGGUGACAUGCUGGGUCGGCUACAGUCGAGAGGGGAUGGCUGGGCAGAGCUGCCUGGGAGUCUGGCAGAGCCCAGACACUCCUCCUGAAACUCAGACUUCUCUCCCCACUGUGUUCCCCUACUCCCAUGAAGUCCUGGAGCUAUGGUCAGACACAGAAAUAGCCCACAGAAAUUAAAACUUCCCUGAUAAUUCUUUUUGAGGUUCCAGUCAGAUUUCUAGGAUCCAGGAACUCACCAAGGUGGACUGAUUCUCCUAGAUGGCAGCACUCUGCGGAGUGGCCCUCCAGGCACUGUCCAGUGGUGUUUCUCCAGGCUGCUCCUGCAUUGUGGAGGUGGCUCAUUGGGCAGCUGGAAGGACAGCAUGCCUUCCUCCUGGAAAAGGCAGCGUUAGCCUGGCCUGGCCCCUUGGCAUGCACUGGUGAGACAUGGAGGAGCACCAGGCACCUCCAGUCCUCGGAGCAGCCCAGGCUGUUUGUCAGAGAUGCCAACAAAGGCGUUCCAGAGGGCCUGGGCAGCCUGGCGGAAGCACCACGGAGAGGCAAAGCAGGUGAUGCUGGAGCCUUGGUGCUGCUGCCACAGCCAAGGAAUCAAUAUUGGUACAGCACUAAUGGCAGCACCCGGCUUCGUGCCCACAGAGAGGCUUCCUCCGUGUCUGCCCGGUGAGGUGCAGCUCAUCCUCCUGCCAGCCCCAGGGCUGCACAGCCCCGCUGCUCCAGAGCCGCGCUCCAGCCCCGUCACAGCGGAGCACGGCCGCUCCUGCAGCCUGCAGGUGCCUCCCGGCUUC